rnacentral:rRNA from 1 species
UACGGAGGGUGCAAGCGUUAUCCGGAUUCACUGGGUUUAAAGGGUGCGUAGGCGGGUUGGUAAGUCCGUGGGGAAAUCCCCAAGCUUAACUUGGGAACUGCUGUGGAUACUAUCAAUCUUGAAUAUCGUGGAGGUAAGCGGAAUAUGUCAUGUAGCGGUGAAAUGCUUAGAUAUGACAUAGAACACCAAUUGCGUAGGCAGCUUACUACACGAUCAUUGACGCUGAGGCACGAAAGCGUGGGGAGCAAACAGG